AUUGAACGCUGGCGGCAGGCUUAACACAUGCAAGUCGAACGAGUGGCGGACGGGUGAGUAAUGCCUGGGAAUCUAGCCUAGGGAGGGGGAUAACUACGGGAAACGGUGGCUAAUACCGCAUACUAUCGGAUGAACCCCUAUGGGAUUAGCUAGUAGGUGGGGUAAAGGCUCACCUAGGCGACGAUCUCUAGCUGGUCUGAGAGGAUGAUAAGCCACACUGGAACGGAGACUGGGCCCCGACUCCUACGUGAGGCAGCAGUGGGGAAUAUUGCACAAGGGGCGCAAGCCUGAUGCAGCCAUGCCGCGUGUAGGAAGAAGGCCUUAGGGUUGUAAAGUACGUUCAGCGGGGAGGCGUUACCCGCAGAAGAAGCACCGGCUAACUCCGUGCCAGCAGCCGCGGUAAUAC
rnacentral:rRNA from 1 species